UACGUAGGUGGCAAGCGUUGUCCGGAUUUAUUGGGUUUAAAGGGUGCGUAGGCGGUUUUUUAAGUCAGUGCUGAAAUACUCCAGCUUAACUGGAGGGGUGGCAUUGAUACUGGAAGACUUGAGUACAGAUGAGGUAGGCGGAAUUGACGGUGUAGCGGUGAAAUGCAUAGAUAUCGUCAAGAACACCGAUAGCGAAGGCAGCUUACUGGGCUGUAACUGACGCUGAUGCACGAAAAGUGUGGGGGAUCAAACAGG
rnacentral:rRNA from 1 species